UGGCGGACGGGGUGAGUAAUGUCUGGGAAACUGCCCGAUGGAGGGGGAUAACUACUGGAAACGGUAGCUAAUACCGCAUAACGUCGCAAGACCAAAGCGGGGGACCUCCGGGCCUCGCGCCAUCAGAUGAACCCAUAUGGGAUUAGCUUGUAGGUAAGGUAACGGCUUACCUAGGCGACGAUCCCUAGCUGGUCUGAGAGGAUGAUCAGCCACACUGGGACUGAGACACGGUCCAG
rnacentral:rRNA from 1 species